rnacentral:rRNA from 1 species
GUGUCAGCAGCCGCGGUAAGACGUAGGGCGCGAGCGUUGUCCGGAUUUAUUGGGCGUAAAGAGCUCGUAGGCGGCUCGUUGCGUCGGCUGUGAAAACCCGCAGCUCAACUGUGGGCUUGCAGCUGAUACGGGCGGGCUGGGAUUCGGUAGGGGAGACUGGAAUUCCUGGUGUAGCGGUGAAAUGCGCAGAUAUCAGGAGGAACACCGGUGGCGAAGGCGGGUCUCUGGGCCGAUAUCGACGCUGAGGAGCGAAAGCGUGGGGAGCGAACAGGAUUAGAUACCCCCGUAGUCC